AUGCACGCUGGCGGCGUGCCUCAUACAUGCCAGUCGAGCGAACGGACGAGAAGCUUGCUUCUCUGAUGUUAGCGGCGGACAGGUGAGUAACACGUGGAUAACCUACCUAUAAGACUGGGAUAACUUCGGGAAACCGUAGCUAAUACCGGAUAAUAUUUUGAACCGCAUGGUUCAAAAGUGAAAGACGGUCUUGCUGUCACUUAUAGAUGGAUCCGCGCUGCAUUAGCUAGUUGGUAAGGUAACGGCUUACCAAGGCAACGAUGCAUAGCCGACCUGAGAGGGUGAUCGGCCACACUGGAACUGAGACACGGUCCAGACUCCUACGGGAGGCAGCAGUAGGGAAUCUUCCGCAAUGGGCGAAAGCCUGACGGAGCAACGCCGCGUGAGUGAUGAAGGUCUUCGGAUCGUAAAACUCUGUUAUUAGGGAAGAACAUAUGUGUAAGUAACUGUGCACAUCUUGACGGUACCUAAUCAGAAAGCCACGGCUAACUACGUG
rnacentral:rRNA from 1 species